GAUGAACGCUGGCGGCGUGCUUAACACAUGCAAGUCGAACGGAAAGGCCCUGCUUUUGUGGGGUGCUCGAGUGGCGAACGGGUGAGUAACACGUGAGUAACCUGCCCUUGACUUUGGGAUAACUUCAGGAAACUGGGGCUAAUACCGGAUAGGAGCUCCUGCUGCAUGGUGGGGGUUGGAAAGUUUCGGCGGUUGGGGAUGGACUCGCGGCUUAUCAGCUUGUUGGUGGGGUAGUGGCUUACCAAGGCUUUGACGGGUAGCCGGCCUGGGAGGGUGACCGGCCACAUUGGGACUGGGAUACGGCCCAGGCUCCUACGGGAGGCAGCAGUGGGGAAUAUUGCACGAUGGGCGGAGGCCUGAUGCAGCAACGCCGCGUGCGGGAUGACGGCCUUCGGGUUGGAAACCGCUUUCGCCUGUGACGAAGCGUGAGUGACGGUAAUGGGUAAAGAAGCACCGGCUAACUACGU
rnacentral:rRNA from 1 species